rnacentral:miRNA from 1 species
AUUCGAAUAUUUAAAUAGUAUAGCCGGUCGGCUAUACCGUUAAAUAUAUUUUAAUAUUUAAAGUUUAAAUAGUAUAGCCGUCCGGCUAUACGUUUUAAACAUAUAUAC